GACGAACGCUGGCGGCGUGCUUAACACAUGCAAGUCGAACGGAAAGGCCCUGCUUUUGUGGGGUGCUCGAGUGGCGAACGGGUGAGUAACACGUGAGUAACCUGCCCUUGACUUUGGGAUAACUUCAUGAAACUGGGGCUAAUACCGGAUAGGAGCUCCUGCUGCAUGGUGGGGGUUGGAUAGUUUCGGCGGUUGGGGAUGGACUCGCGGCUUAUCAGCUUGUUGGUGGGGUAGUGGCUUACCAAGGCUUUGACGGGUAGCCGGCCUGAGAGGGUGACCGGCCAAAUUGGGACUGAGAUACGGCCCAGACUCCUACGGGAGGCAGCAGUGGGGAAUAUUGCACAAUGGGCGGAAGCAUGAUGCAGCAACGCCGCGUGCGGGAUGACGGCCUUCGGGUUGUAAACCGCUUUCGCCUGUGACGAAGCGUGAGUGACGGUAAUGGGUAAAGAAGCACCGGCUAACUACGUG
rnacentral:rRNA from 1 species